AACGAACGCUGGCGGCAUGCCUAACACAUGCAAGUCGAACGAGACCUUCGUGUCGAGUGGCGCACGGGUGCGUAACGCGUGUUAAUCUGCCCUUGGUUUCGGAAUAACAGUCAGAAAUUACUGCUAAUAUCGGAUGAUGUCUUCUGACUAAUGAUUUAUCAGCUAGGUUUGGGCCGGCGUAGUAUUAGCUAGUUGGAGUUGUAAUGGACUACCAAGGCGACGAGUCUUAGCUGGUCUGAGAGGAUGAUCAGCCACACUGGGACUGAGACACGGCCCAGACUCCUACGGAAGGCAGCAAUGGGGAAUAUUGGACGCUGGGCGAAAGACGGAUCCAGCAAUGCCGCGUGAGUGAUGAAGGCCUUAAGAUUGUAAAGCUCUUUUACACGGGAUGAUAAUGACGGUACCGGAAGAAUAAGCUCCGGCUAACUACGUG
rnacentral:rRNA from 1 species